rnacentral:tmRNA from 1 species
GGGGCUGAUCUAGGAUUCGACAGGAUUGAUGACACCGGAGGAGCACGUCGAGGGGCGGUUGGCCUCGUAAAAAGCCGCAAAAAAAUAGUCGCAAACGACGAAAACUACGCACU